GCAGUUGAGGAUCUGUUCUAUAGGAUCGUACUUCUGUAUCCUUGAGUUCUAAGGAGACAGGACCCCAAGUCUGGUUGAUGAGACACGACCGUGCGACCAGAGCGUGAGUAAUAGCAACAGCAUGGUCAUCGUGUCAUGUACUGGUGCAGUUGAGGAUCGUUUCCAGCCAUUGCAAAAUGGUUUGGGAUGGUCACACGGUUGUCUGACAGACU